GACUACUAAAGGCUUGAGAACAAAGCAGGACAGCAGGGGACAAAGACCGCUCACUCCUGGGCUGACAGCUACACCAGCCAACGCCUUCAUCACCACUACCCUCAGUGACACCAGCACCAGCCAAGGCCUCCAGCACCACUGGCCUCAGGUCAGGUUGCAGGUCUCAGAGCCCAUUAGGUGUGAGUGAACACGUGACUCAUUCUUGCGCUGUCAGCAUCCGGGUCUCGGCUGUGUUCUAGGGCACAAGGCCACACUGUGCGUCAAGCUGAGGUUUGUCCAGUGGAGUUCCACCCCCAUGCCAGAGAGAAGGGAAAUGCCAUCCUAGUGACUUCGUAUUGGCAACUGCAGUGGGUUGGAUGAGGUUGCUCAGGUAUAGUACAGCAUAUUCUUAAAAG